GUGGCGAGCGAACGGGGACCAGCCGAGCCUUGAGAGUGACCAGAAUGUGCUGGAAAGCACAGCCAUAGCGGGUGACAGCCCCGUAUGGGAAGCUCGAUGGGACGUAUCAAGUAGGGCGGGACACGUGAAAUCCUGUCUGAAGAUCGGAGGACCACCUUCGAAGGCUAAGUACUCCUUACUGACCGAUAGUGAACCAGUACC
rnacentral:rRNA from 15 species